CAGCAGCCGGUAAUACGGAGGGCGCGAGCGUUACCCGGAUUUACUGGGCGUAAAGGGCGUGUAGGCGGCCUGGGGCGUCCCAUGUGAAAGGCCACGGCUCAACCGUGGAGGAGCGUGGGAUACGCUCAGGCUAGAGGGUUGGAGAGGGUGGUGGAAUUCCCGGAGUAGCGGUGAAAUGCGCAGAUACCGGGAGGAACGCCGAUGGCGAAGGCAGCCACCUGGUCCACCUCUGACGCUGAGGCGCGAAAGCGUGGGGAGCAAACCGGAUUAGAUACCCGGGUAGUCCCUGUCUCUUAUACAC
rnacentral:rRNA from 1 species